CUUUAUCCACCAGCCCUUUGGUUCGCAGGCCCCCCAAUCCGUCCUAAUGAAUCCUUAAAUGGAUCCUGGAAAGAAGGAGGAUUUGUGCCUUCCAGUACCAGUAGCAGUGGGUAUUGGAGCUGGAGUGCUCCAAGUGACCAAUCAAACCCAUCCACUCCAUCACCUCCCCUUUCUGCUGACAGCUUCAAACCAUUUCGAUUACCAUCUCAAACUGACGAUGGCAUUGACGAGGCUGAAACUAGCAGUCUUCUUUUUGAUGAACCCAUUCCUAGGAAAAGGAAGAACUCCAUGAAAGUAAUGUUUAAAUGCCUUUGGAAAAACUGUGGAAAGGUACUAAGCACUGCUGUUGGCAUUCAGAAACACAUCCGGACUAUUCAUCUAGGGUGAGAAGACUACAGUUCU